UACAGAGGGUGCGAGCGUUAAUCGGAACUACUGGGCGUAAAGCGCGCGUAGGCGGCUUUGCAAGUCGGGUGUGAAAUCCCCAGGCUCAACCUGGGAACUGCAUUCGAGACUGCAUUGCUAGAGUAUGGGAGAGGGAAGUGGAAUUUCCGGUGUAGCGGUGAAAUUCGUAGAUAUCGGGAGGAACACCAGUGGCGAAGGCGGCGACCUGGGCCAAUACUGACGCUGAGGUGCGAAAGCGUGGGGAGCAAACAGG
rnacentral:rRNA from 1 species